rnacentral:rRNA from 1 species
AGCUCCAAUAGCGUAUAUUUAAGUUGUUGCAGUUAAAAAGCUCGUAGUUGGAUUUCGGGUGGGCGCCGCCGGUCUCCCAUUGGGUAUGUACUGGCGUGGCCCGCCUUGCUGUCGGGGACGCUCUCCCGGGCUUCACUGCUCGGGAAGCGGAGUCGACGACGUUACUUUGAGUAAAUUAGAGUGUUCAAAGCAAGCCAUCGCUCUGAAUAUGAUAGCAUGGGAUAACACGACAGGACUCUGGCCUAUCGUGUUGGUCUGUAGGACCGGAGUAAUGAUUAAGAGGGACAGUCGGGGGCAUUCGUAUUCCGUUGUCAGAGGUGAAAUUCUUGGAUUUACGGAAGACGAACAUCUGCGAAAGCAUUUGCCAAGGAUGUUUUCA